rnacentral:rRNA from 1 species
GAUGAACGCUGGCGGCAUGCCUAAUACAUGCAAGUCGAACGAACAGACCCAAAAAUUAACAAGUGCUUGCACGAGUUAGUAUUUGGAUUUUCUGUUAGUGGCGAACGGGUGAGUAACACGUGGGUAACCUACCCAAAAGCGUGGGAUAACUAUUAGAAAUGAUAGCUAAUACCACAUAGUAAUAUUUAAUGUAGAGUUAGAUAUUUUAAAGGUGCGUUUGCAUCGCUUUUGGAUGGGCCUGCGGUGUAUUAGCUAGUUGGUGAGGUAAUGGCUCACCAAGGCAACGAUGCAUAGCCGGACUGAGAGGUUGAACGGCCACACUGGGACUGAGACACGGCCCAGACAUCUACGGGUGGCAGCAGUAGGGAAUUUUUCGCAAUGGGCGCAAGCCUGACGGAGCAAUGCCGCGUGAACGAUGAAGGUUUUCGGAUCGUAAAGUUCUGUUGUAAGGGAAGAACAGCUAUAUAAGGAAAUGUAUAUAGUGUGACGGUACCUUACCAGAAAGGGACGGCUAACUACGUGCCAGCAGCCGCCGUAAGAC